CUUACAUCACGUGUCUGUGGCAGUAUGUCAUGAAGAUCAUGUUAUCUUUUCUCUUUCGGUCAGACUUACUCGACCUCUAAAGUUCUCUGUGAGCCACAAUCAAACUCAUCGCCUCACGGGAGUUUUGAAUCCUGAGGUCUUCUGAUUCAAUGCCCAUCAAGUAAAAUACUAAUCGGCUGUCGAGUCCUGCCCUCUAACCCUGCUAAUCCUUUUUCAAGACUGGCAAAGCUGGAUGCCUCCUUCCUCCGGUGAAAUUCCUUGGAUAUAGAACGGAUGGGGUUGUGAUAUUUAUGUGCUGAGUUAGGACAUCCAACCCACAUUCCUACAAGAUGCAGUCAGACAAAGUGAUUUAUUUUCCCUAAUAUAUGCUGCUGUCCAGGUAAUGUAAAUCCUGUCACAGGGCUCUACACUGACGUCCAUUCACCCUCCAGUUUGGUUCUAAUGCUGAAAGGGGCAUCAAUUAUGAAUAUAUCGGAUAUGACUGCGUUUGACUCCCAUUCUAAAAUCCUGUGUUACUCUCUGAGAACACAAAAAAAUCAAUACUUUUUUUAAUGUUUCUUAAAAUCAGUGUGCUGGGUGUCAUUUUGGAAAUCAGUGCUUCAUGUCACGUCAACUUUUCUGUAAUAUGGCAAGACUUCAGUUUGAGGUAGCCGGAUAUAAUUCCAAACUCUGAAAAUAAGCAUGGCUGUGAAUGUAAAAACAUCAGUGAUAUCAGUGGGUCACACCUCAGUGCCUCCUUCUCUGUGCUUUGUAUUAGUACAUGUGCCAUUUUAAUAACUCAAUGUAUCAGAUGAGGUGUGUGACUUAUUGAACAGGCUUACAAUCUUAGAGUCUUGUGACCUGAUGGUAAACGUCAUUAAAAAGGAAGUGAAAGCUGUGAUAAAAAGUACCGGGAAUGCCGAGAGGGCAGAUGGCUGUGGGAAAGGGAAGUAACUAAAUGGAAAUAUCGGUUUUUAUAUCAUAGGUUGCUUUAUCUGACAAACCUGACACUCAACAAUCCAGAGACAAACAGAGGAACUUACUCUUCAACAGGCCCCUUUAUGUCACACUCAGGAUGUCAGUCUUUGAGUUUACAAUCAUCAAAGUAAGUAUGCCUGGAAACAGAUUUGGGUGCAUUGAAUUGUGUUGAUUUUAUUUUCCCAUAGACUAACACAGGAACCAUCACCUGCUGGUUUGACGACUUUCACUGUGAAGCCUUAAUUGCCCUAACCUUUAAACCACAUGUCACAAAUUAGAGAUAGAUAUGAUUUAAAAACACAAAACAUUGCACUCUCAUAUGGUUCUGGCUCAAGCAUAUGCUGCUUUACUCUAAUUCUGACCAUAUGGUACCAUAACGCUCUCAGCUGUGGCCUCACAUGAGACUAACACAUGUCGGAGCUUUUUCCUCUUUAUCACUGGCCAAUCUAAAAACUCCAGUGACAGCUACUUUUGAGAUUUUGGAGCGAUUUGUCAUUCAGCAUUGAUUUUCUUUCAGACAGAACAGGAUGUUCAUUCCAGCCAUCAGCAGGGGUUACGACAUUUGGGGAAUGGUGAAAUAAAUGAAAUAGUUAUAGCAGAAAUGAUCAGUCACACACAGAGUUAGGAGACCAAGUAGGAAACACUACUUGGUCUCCCAACAUAACAUAACAUAACUCGUGUUCAUCCCUCUACCUAACCACAACCCUGUGCUAUCAGAAAAUAGUCCUCCAAGGUCAGUGUUAUCAGGGCGUAACAGUUUAGUUGGUGCACGUCAAAAAAUGUUUUUACCAAAGAAGUCGUUUUUUUUUAGGGUUUGGGUUAUUUGUCAUAAAUAUAAUCAUAGACCUCACAGAGUAAACAUUGCUAGGACCAUUAGGGAUGAUUCAGUGAUGCUAUAAUGUGUUUCUGUGAGUGCAGCGCAUACUUGAAUGCUCACACUGGAUAUCUUGAAUCACAUUUAGAGAAAAAAAUAGCUGAAGACAAAUAAAAAGUAAAUUAAAAUUAUCAUAUUUAUCCUGGGUUUGUUACUCAUUCUGAAGAAGUUACAGGUGUGUCUAUUUUCCUUUCCUAUUUCAGCUAUGUACAGAAAAAGGCGUAACCCAAUGCAAGAUGCUGGAGGCAGGAAUAAAACUCAAAUAUGUCUUUAAUUCAAGGAAAUCUGAAGAAUAUACAAAAUCUGAAACCAACGAGCAAAACAGGGAAUACCAAACUCGAGAGCUCAAGGUAGGGUUGGAAACACUGGGAAUGCAGAAGCUGGGGACACGCAGCAGCAGACAACACUACACCAAACAGAGAAAAGGACUAAUUUUUACUGCAACUAAUUAAUUUACUGCAAUCAUUUUUUUUUUCGGAUCAGAUUUUUUGCAUGCAAAUAAACAAAUCUGACCACUCAGACCACUGCAGUUGGCAAUAAGCGCACUUGUAGCUCAAAAACCUGCAGUGACAUGGAAAUAUAAAGUAAUCCUAUUUUACCUCAGGCACAUAGUAAGACACUGCUUCAGGUCAAUCAGCUUUCAGAAAUUUGUUCAAACUGCCCUGCUGUCAUCCUCCAAAAUCAUGAUACAGCUUCAACUCCUGGAUCACACCAUGAAAUUUACCCUGCUGCUGCCUUCUCCUGAGAAUUUGGCAUUGUUUUUAUAUCUGGUGUGCAAUUAAAACACACCUGAUAACAAGGUGAGAAGUAACAGGUGUGAUGCACGAAUAGGCAAAACGGAAUUACAACACGAAUAACACAGAGAACAAGAGUUAACAAAAUAAAACAAGGCACAACUGAACGGGGAACAAGGGAGAAAAGAGAAUGGGAACACAGAAAGGAAUCUACUCAAUAAACCUUAGGAUCUCUGGACAUGACAUCAAAUAACACCAUUCAGAGCUCAUACAAGGCAUCAGGCAAAAAAAGAGGUGUGAACACUAAUAAAUAACAGAAAGCUAAACUAAA